AUGGCGAGGCAGAUCAGCGGCAGGAACAUAACUGUACAACCAAGCACAAGGCUGAGGGGGGAAGAAUCUGCAGAAGAAGGAAAUAGAUCAGAGGAAGAUUCAGGGAGUGUUGAAUGCGGUACAGUACUAGUGAAGCACCGAUUGAACAAGCUGAUCAAGAAAGAUAUCACAAUCAACAAAACACACAACAAGGUGUUUAACUUGAUAUCGUUUGUAUUGAUGAAACUGAAAAUCCAGAUCAAUCACUCUGAAACAAUUGGCAGCGCACAAUGCAUCCCAGGAGAGCAACAAAGAUAUAACUCACCCCUAGAAAUGAUGGAAAGAGCAAAACCAGGGAAAGAGCAUGCCGAGGUUUGUCCAGGCUCCCCUGAGAAUGUCAUUGAGAUGCUGGAGCACCAAGAGCCAAAAACUCCGAGACCAGUGCCAGGCACGUCACUUGAACCGAUAUCACAAGAGGAAAACUAUAAAAAGCAAGAGCAGCCCAGUCAUGUGUCUGUUUUUGAUCUGUUCAUCCUUGAAGAUGUCGACAGCGCUGAAAAUAAGAGCAUGAUAAAAUGCAAUAUUCAAUUGACAGAAAGUGAGUUGCACAAACAUGUCUUGAUGCCCCAGUACUACCAAGAAGAGAUCUUCUGGGAGGACAAGGAUGUCAGGUUAGGUUACAUAGAAAGCUAUCAGGACUAUGCACAUACCAGAACUUAG
rnacentral:rRNA from 1 species